rnacentral:tRNA from 1 species
GGAGGUGUGGCCGAGCGGUCAAUGGCAGCAGACUGUAAAUCUGCCGGGCUUAAGCCCUACGGUGGUUCAAAUCCAUCCGCCUCCACCA